CCCACCCCAAGGAAACCUCGGUAGUGCACACCGACAAAAAGUCUGCUCGCCGAAUUGCGACGGACGCUGGUCUGGGAAAAGUUCUCACCGCUCAUGAGUGACUGAUUCCCUGGGGGUCAGGGGUCUUUUCUUGAUUCUCUGAGCACGUGGCGCCACCUCAACUGUGAUCGGCAGAUGCGCCCUGUGGACAGACUGCCACUCUGAGGACACCCAGGACCCAGGAGGUUUCUGCUUCUGGCAGACAUCUGAAUAUCAGUUGCUGACUACAGACUGUUCUAAGACUGCGAGCCCUGGACUUGCUGUGGAUGUGAACCAGUUCAGCUGAUAUGGACACCCCCUGUCUCUACAACAGUGUCUGCUAACCAGAAGCCCCUGAUGAAUUCCCCAUUGCCUAAAUUCCUUUUUGCUUUUGACUAGCAUUUCAACCUUCUGGGGUCCCUAACUUCGUCCCAAUGUCAGCAGGAAGCAGUUUAGAAAGAAAUUUCGCCGCCCAUUUUCCCUGGUUAAAAUGCUAAGUCAAAAGGAACUCCCUUACAUGGGGAUGCCAAUAUCUGUCACUCCCUGAUGGGGAUGCUAGAGAGACAGCAAUUCCAUGAUUGGAAUUUCCAGAAAAGAAAAUGGGGGAAUGAAGGAACCGGCUUCCCUUUUGGCAGCCAUAAUGGUUAAACAUGUGCCUUUAUGACCUUGUCCUAAAAACCAGAAAGUCAGAUGCCUGUCUCGUGACAAGGAACCAAUCAGAAGUUAGCUGGUGGCGCUAUGCUUUAUGGCUCUGGGUGUGCUUUACGGACAAGCGCACGACAAUGACGUAGAGAGCAUAGCAACCACCCUGGGAGGGCCUAUGGGCCAUAACAACCAGUUGACCAAUCAACACAGGGCAAGCCCUCCAAGCCUGGAAGCACACCAAUCCUGAGCCUGUGCGUACCCCUAGACACUCCCCUUACGCUGCCCUAUAAGAUCUUUGGGGAGACCUUAGGAGCCGUCUUUUCUAGCCGUCAGCCAUGGCGGGUGGGUGAAAGACCCGAGCUAACAUGGGGUUAGUUCGUUAAAUUACAAUAAAGCCUCGUGCAGUUUGCAGCAAGCUCUCGAAUCCGCCUGGUGAUUGGGGUGACCGCGAACCUGGCCUGAGACCCCGGAUACUUGAGUUUUCGGGGGUCUAACA
rnacentral:lncRNA from 1 species